AGCAUGUGGUUUAAUUCGACGCAACGCGAAGAACCUUACCAGGGCUUUGACAUCCCUGACCGCGUAUGAAAGUACGUUUUCACCCUCGGGUGACAGGGAGACAGGUGGUGCAUGGUUGUCGUCAGCUCGUGUCGUGAGAUGUUGGGUUAAGUCCCGCAACGAGCGUCAACCCUUGCCAUUAGUUGUCAGCGAGUCAUGUCGGAUACUCUAAUGGGACUGCCGGUGACGAGCCGGAGGAAGGUGGGGAUGACGUCAAGUCAGCAUGGCCUUUAUGUCCAGGGCCACACACGUGCUACAAUGGACGGUACAGAGGGACGCAAGACCGCAAGGUGGAGCAAAUCCUCAAAACCGUUCUCAGUUCGGAUUGCAGGCUGCAAUUCGCCUGCAUGAAGCUGGAAUUGCUAGUAAUCGCAGAUCAGCUACGCUGCGGUGAAUACGUUCUCGGGCCUU
rnacentral:rRNA from 1 species